GCCUGGUGCUCCACUUCUCUGGUUCAGUCGACGCGUCUCUCCGUCACCAGCGCGUGCUCGCGCGAGCGUUGCGCUCCAUCUGCUCCCGCCCGUCUCCGUCAAAGCUGCACCGAAGUCUGCAGCGUUGCAUGCUGACGUUCCCAGCGUCUCCGGCCUCCGAUCUCGUCGUCCUCGUAUUCGUUUCAGUGAGUCCCAAACUGAUCAACAAUCAAAGCCGGGAUCAGUCCGUCAGUCUCUGCAGCCCCAGCACAGCAGCAUUUUGCUCCUUGUCAGCGCCUAGUCGCCCCUGGCCCCGCAGCAUUUGCUUCUUCCCGGAUAGGAUCACGAAGUGGUGUUGUGAGAUACGA